rnacentral:rRNA from 1 species
GACAGAGGAUGCAAGCGUUAUCCGGAAUGAUUGGGCGUAAAGCGUCUGUAGGUGGCUUUUUAAGUCCGCCGUCAAAUCCCAGGGCUCAACCCUGGACAGGCGGUGGAAACUACCAAGCUGGAGUGACGGUAGGGGCAGGAGGGAAUUUCCGGGUGGAGCGGUGAAAUGCGUAGAGUAUCGAAGGAGGAACCAACCAGUGGACGAAAGGCAUGAUCUCCUGGGGCCCGAAC